rnacentral:rRNA from 1 species
UACGUAGGGGGCAAGCGUUGUCCGGAAUCAUUGGGCGUAAAGCGCGUGUAGGCGGUCCGGUAAGUCCGCUGUGAAAGUCGGGGGCUCAACCCUCGGAUGCCGGUGGAUACUGUCGGGCUUGAGUACGGAAGAGGCGAGUGGAAUUCCUGGUGUAGCGGUGAAAUGCGUAGAGAUCCGGAAGAACACCAGUGGCGAAGGCGGCCCGCUGGGCAGUGGCUGACGCUGAAGCGCGACAGCGUGGGGAGCAAACAGG